rnacentral:rRNA from 1 species
GACGAACGCUGGCGGCGCGCUUAACACAUGCAAGUCGAGCGAGAACCAGGGCUUCGGCCCUGGGGACAGCGGCGAACGGGUGAGUAACACGUGGGUAAUCUGCCCUCGGCACCGGAAUAGCCCGGGGAAACCCGGAUUAAUGCCGGAUGGCCCCUUCACCUCGCGAGGUGUCGGGAAAAGGUAGCUUCAGCCUCUGGCCGAGGAUGAGCCCGCGGCGGAUUAGCUUGUUGGCGGGGUAACGGCCCACCAAGGCGACGAUCCGUAGCUGGUCUGAGAGGACGAUCAGCCACACUGGGACUGAGACACGGCCCAGACUCCUACGGGAGGCAGCAGUGGGGAAUCUUGCGCAAUGGGCGAAAGCCUGACGCAGCGACGCCGCGUGAGGGAAGAAGGCCUUCGGGUUGUAAACCUCUUUCAGGAGGGACGAAGCUACUCGGGUGAAUAGCCCAGAGGGUGACGGUACCUCCAGAAGAAGCCCCGGCUAACUACGUACCAGCCGCCGCGGUAA